UCAAACAAAACCUAUCGCCUCUCCCCUCCACCUUUAAACGCUCUAAGAUCGCCGUUUUAGUUCAGAUAAGCGCCGCUGUAUUUGCUGUAAAUAAAUGAAUAUUCCAAACAUCAAUUCUACCAUUUGAUCGAUUUACUUGUACUGCGUUUCUUUCAUAACAUAUUCAUUAAUCAUCAGUGUAAGAGCGACAUAAACGUAGACUCAUCCAGGUAUGUCGAACACCUCGAUCGGUGUGAUGAUUCCGUGAGAAUCUUCUUUGAAAGCCGAAAAAAAUCUUAAUGGAUGACUACUUUUUUCCUCCACACAAGGAUGGGUGGGAGUAACGUAGGCACCGUGCGUAGGCACGUGAUUGUGAAAGCUGUAAGCCAAUGGAAAUGCGAGCAUUCACUUCGAAGGCGUGUCUUAUAAAAGCUCAAUAAUGGAACAAGUCCGACUUUUGAAGAUCAACCCCAUUUGACGUGAGCUCGACCUACAAACUAUCAGCAUUGACUGAAGAGAGCUUGGCAUUGAAAGACUACCCUACGGUCAGCUAAGUUUAUCACUCUACGAAAGAUGAUUUCCUUGGUGUCCAAGUUUCGUUCGAGGUUAGGUUCCGUGCUAUUUGGGGCGUAUUCCGAAAUAUACUUGCAGUACUGCAAGUGCUGGCAACCGCGUUCCGAAACAGCGUGACAGCUUAAUGUAGCCAGUCAGUGACGUCGCGGAAUUCAUGACGUAGUUAACUGCGACUACUGCGUUCCGAGACGUGAAGCAGUUGAAGUAGUCCAAAGAUGGCGGCGCCGUUCCGGCAGUAGAAAACCGAAGACCGAAUGUCGUUGGUAGUAAACUGCGUGACUUCAUAAUUAGCAGUACUUCAAGACCUUCAAGUAUAUUCCGGAAUACACCCUUGGUUCCGUGCACGUGCGUAUCAGUAAUCUCACAAUGGCCAUAAAUACACCGUUAAUAGAUUUAAACUCGUACUAAGCUGGUGCGGAUCAAGAGAAAUAGUACACAUCCGUUUACAUCGGCUAACUUGCGAGCAUCAUUCGAACUAACGUUGGUACUCUCACCAAAAGUCAUCUGCGAGAGUUUGGUACACCUCCGUGAAGUUGGCCGGAAAGUUUCGAUUUUCCAAAAAGAAACUUCACAGAUCGAUUGUUGGUCGUUUGUAGGUGAUUGUUGGAUAGGUAAAAUUGUUUGUUGGAUUAUAGUUUUCUAACCAAAUCCAAAAUUGUGUUUUGCAUAAAGUUAGCCGGAUGAUUUUUUAUUUUCAAUUUUUUACACUUCUCAAGGGGUCCAAUCGAAACGCAAUCGUUUGUUGGAU
rnacentral:misc_RNA from 1 species